rnacentral:rRNA from 1 species
GAUGAACGCUGGCGGCGUGCCUAAUACAUGCAAGUCGAGCGAACGGACGAGAAGCUUGCUUCUCUGAUGUUAGAGGCGGACGGGUGAGUAACACGUGGAUAACCUACCUAUAAGACUGGAAUAACUUCGGGAAACCGGAGCUAAUACCGGAUAAUAUUUUGAACCGCAUGGUUCAAAAGUUAAAGACGGUCUUGCUGUCACUUAUAGAUGGAUCCGCGCUGCAUUAGCUAGUUGGUAAGGUAACGGCUUACCAAGGCAACGAUGCAUAGCCGACCUGAGAGGGUGAUCGGCCACACUGGAACUGAGACACGGUCCAGACUCCUACGGGAGGCAGCAGUAGGGAAUCUUCCGCAAUGGGCGAAAGCCUGACGGAGCAACGCCGCGUGAGUGAUGAAGGUCUUCGGAUCGUAAAACUCUGUUAUUAGGGAAGAACAUAUGUGUAAGUAACUGUGCACAUCUUGACGGUACCUAAUCAGAAAGCCACGGCUAACUACGUG